GCCGCAGGGACGGAGCCAGCCUUUAGGCUACAUGGGCAAAUGCCCUUCUCACUCUCCUAUAUUUAUAUAUUAGGUAUUUUCAAAUAAUAUCUAAUAAUAUUCACUAAAUGCUCUUUUGUUAACAAUCAGAAGUUACUAUAUAUAUAAUAUUGCUCCACCUAUUAUGAUGUCCUGGCUAAGUCCCCUGCCCCGGCCGACAUGGCAAGAGCCAACAUGCCACCUAACUGGGUGGUGCGAAGACGGGUCCAUGGAGGUUCUACCUUGCCGACUAGGACUUGGCCACCUAGCCACCCUACCAGGUAGCUUGGGCUCGGUGUCGCGGGGCCAGAGCUCUCACCCGACUAGGUGACUCGAGCCACCUGUUCGUGUACAAGGCACAUGAGGAGUGUUAUGCACUGAAGCAUGUGAUGGCAAAAUCAUGUUGAUAAUAUCCUUGGGAGAAGAGAAUUCAUCACAUUCCAGUAAUACAUAUAGACUGCAAUUAUGCUGGACUCUAGUGAUGGGUGUGGCGCCAUUGUGAAUGACCUAAGCCCUAUCUCUCUUUGUUUCAACAAGUUUUAUCAAAAGAGAAUUAAUAUCUUACAAAA